rnacentral:rRNA from 1 species
GACGAACGCUGGCGGCGUGCUUAACACAUGCAAGUCGAACGGAAAGGCCCUGCUUUUGUGGGGUGCUCGAGUGGCGAACGGGUGAGUAACACGUGAGUAACCUGCCCUUGACUUUGGGAUAACUUCAGGAAACUGGGGCUAAUACCGGAUAGGAGCUCCUGCUGCAUGGUGGGGGUUGGAAAGUUUCGGCGGUUGGGGAUGGACUCGCGGCUUAUCAGCUUGUUGGUGGGGUAGUGGCUUACCAAGGCUUUGACGGGUAGCCGGACUGAGAGGGUGACCGGCCACAUUGGGACUGAGAUACGGCCCAGACUCCUACGGGAGGCAGCAGUGGGGAAUAUUGAACAAUGGGCGGAAGCCUGAUGCAGCAACGCCGCGUGCGGGAUGACGGCCUUCGGGUUGUAAACCGCUUUCGCCUGUGACGAAGCGUGAGUGACGGUAAUGGGUAAAGAAGCACCGGCUAACUACGUG